rnacentral:rRNA from 1 species
AUUGAACGCUGGCGGCAGGCCUAACACAUGCAAGUCGAGCGGAUGAAGGGAGCUUGCUCCUGGAUUCAGCGGCGGACGGGUGAGUAAUGCCUAGGAAUCUGCCUGGUAGUGGGGGAUAACGUCCGGAAACGGGCGCUAAUACCGCAUACGUCCUGAGGGAGAAAGUGGGGGAUCUUCGGACCUCACGCUAUCAGAUGAGCCUAGGUCGGAUUAGCUAGUUGGUGGGGUAAAGGCCUACCAAGGCGACGAUCCGUAGCUGGUCUGAGAGGAUGAUCAGUCACCCUGGAACUGAGACACGGACCAGACUCCUACGGGAGGCAGCAGUGGGGAAUAUUGGACAGUGGGCGAAAGCCUUAUCCAGCCAUGCCGCGUGUGUGAAGAAGGUCUUCGGAUUGUAAAGCACUUUAAGUUGGGAGGAAGGGCAGUAAGUUAAUACCUUGCUGUUUUGACGUUACCAACAGAAGAAGCACCGGCUAACUUCGUG